AAAAGGCAACGCCUGCCCAGUGAAUAAUUAAACGGCCGCGGUACCCUAACCGUGCAAAGGUAGCAUAAUCACUUGUCUAUUAACUGUAGACCGGUAUGAAAGGCAACAUGAGGGUUUAACUGUCUCUUGUAAUAGACCUAUAAAACUGAUCCCCUAGUAAAAAAGCUAGGAUACACCCAUAAGACCAGAAGACCCUGUGAAGCUUUAACUAAACUAUUAAACUAAAUAAUAACUACUUUAGGUUGGGGCGACCCUGGAAAAAAAAAGAACUUCCACAGAAUAAAACCCUUAAGGCCCACAAGCCAAUUAAUGACCCAGUAAUACUGAUAAUUGAACCAAGUUACUCCAGGGAUAACAGCGCCAUCUUCUUCAAGAGCCCAUAUCAAAAAGAAGGUUUACGACCUCGAUGUUGGAUCAGGACACCCCAAUGGUGUAACCGCUAUUAAAGGUUCGUUUGUUCAACGAUUAAUGUCCUACGUGAUCUGAGUUC
rnacentral:rRNA from 1 species